UUGAAAAAGAAACAAAAUAGACCCAGAAACUGGAUCACGGGGACCAUAGGGAGGGAAAUAAAAUGAGAAUUAAACAGACAUCUGGAGGUUUAUGACUUGAGGGUAUGAAGACAAUUUUACUAGAUG
ensembl:ncRNA C34F11.14 ncRNA